UUGUUACAUGACAAUACUGGAAGGAUUUGCCUCCUGAUUCAUAAUGCAAACAAGAAGGAUGCUGGGUGGUACACAGUAUCUGCAGUCAACGGAGCAGGAGUGGCCACGUGCCAUGCCAGACUGGAGGUUGCAACACAUACGCACAAGCCAGUUCCAGCCCCAAAGCACCUACGAGUCCGACCAACUUUCAGCAAGUAUUUGGCCCUCAAUGGCAGAGGGCUGGAUGUGAAACAAGCCUUCUCACCAGAGGGAGAGUUUCAGCGUUUGGCUGAGCAGUCUGGACUGUAUGAAAGCGAUGAACUUUAACUGGAAACAAAGAAGAAAACUCACACCAACGAGAGACAGUGCCAACACAGAUGUAGUUCACUGGUAGUAGUUCUAAUUAGCAAAAUACCUAUCUAUGUAUUUUUACUGUGACUCUUGCACAUUCUGCUGUUCCCAUGUUUUACCAUGUUAGAUGUUAUUUAUGUGGGUUGGUGAAUAUAACCAUUUUCUGAGUAUUGUAUUGUAAGGAUAGAGCCCAAGCAGGCAGGCCGAUCAGCUCCCACAGCGCGGGCAGCUCCAGCCCCACUGUGCUGGGUUACGUGCUGAAGUAGAUGGGUUUGUGCUGCUUCUCUAAUACUGCUCUUGAAGAAGCUCUGUGCUGUCUGAUUACUAAAACCAAAUAAAUAGAGUGUUUUUAUGAGAAUUAAGUAGAAGCAAAUAAAAUCUUAAACACCCGAA